UACGGGGGGGGCUAGCGUUGUCCGGAAUCAUUGGGCGUAAAGAGCGUGUAGGCGGCCCGGUAAGUCCGCUGUGAAAGUCGGGGGCUCAACCCUCGAAAGCCGGUGGAUACUGUCGGGCUAGAGUGCGGAAGAGGAGAGUGGAAUUCCUGGUGUAGCGGUGGAAAUGCGCAGAUAUCAGGAAGAACACCCGUGGCGAAAGCGGCUCUCUGGGACGGUACUGACGCUGAGACGCGAAAGCGUGGGGAGCGAACAGG
rnacentral:rRNA from 1 species